UGCUUUCUGAUAUGACAACACUUGAUGCACAACAAUCUCAGUUUAUCUAUUGAAGUCAAAUUUUAUUUCUCCUAUUCUGCCUCGAAAGUUUGGUACCUCUUCAACUGCAUUGAAUAAUGGGAAAUUUUGGUGGUUCUAGACUUAUGGUUGAGGAAAGGUCUGUUAGCACAAAUAUUGAGGAACGAAACAAGACAUGAAUAAAGCAGCACCAUUGAAUGAGUGCACCUCCCACACAUGGGGGGGGAUACUAGGGAAUGCUGCUGACUUUUACGAGGAUGGUCCAAAUAGUUGCACAUUGGACACCAACAUGGACAGACGGCAGAUGAUGAUUACAUUUGACAUGAGAUAUGCAUAGAUAGAUAGACCUAAAAGUGUAUCCAAUUAGCGCUGCUAGCAGAGAUCCUGGUGUCCUGAAUUCUGUUUCAUCCCUGUUGAAAAGAUGUGUAGGAUUUAUGAUGGCAAAAAUGGUGCUGCGGGAACUCAUGGAUCCAUUAAUUUUCAUCAAGUUCAAAUCAUUCCUCAUGAAGACGAGAGCAGGGAAAGGAUCCUUCAUGCUUGCAUGAAUUUUUGUUGCAAAUCCUCAGUAGGAAUUCUCCAUCUGGAAAUGUUGGACUCCAAAUACUAACUGUGGUGCCGGUUGGGACCUUUUAUCCUUGUUUGGUUGGCAACCGAACGUUCCAAAAGAAUAAGUUGUUUGGAUGCCCUCAGGCAUCCAUUUCUGUGUGGACCAAGAUGGUGGGUGGCGCCAUCCAUGGAUAUCUUCAGCUGUGGCCUUGGCUCAACUGCAGUUCGAAUGACGGAGGAAUACAUUUAUAAGCAGAUGGAUUAAUCGGUUGUGACUCUUUCAAGCCAGUGCCUUGAGUGAUUAGCUGGAAAUUUUGAAAGUUUCCUUUUCUGGGCAGAGUAGCACAAGUAUGCAUCUUGAUCGUUUAUCAAAGGCUUUGUGAACCUAGAAAGUACCCUGUUUUUCUAGGGAAGCACAAGUAUGAGAUGGAACAACUAGUGUUACUAAUUAAUUUCCCGUUACUUGAAAGAUAUCUUAGUGUGCUUCAAUUUCUAUUCUUGCAACUAAAUCUUUGCAUGUAGACUCAUUAUAUAUCUGGUGUUGGUUUAUAGCUAACAAUGGCAUUAGGUUGACAAGGUAAACUGAUAUCGUAAUAGGCUUUCCAAUUUUAUCGAGUUGAUGGAGAUGUUGAAUGUUCAUUCAA